GAUGAAGAACGUAGCGAAAUGCGAUACUUGGUGUGAAUUGCAGAAUCCCGCGAAUCAUCGAGUUUUUGAACGCAAGUUGCGCCCGAAGCCAUUCGGCCGAGGGCACGUCUGCCUGGGUGUCACGCAUCGUUGCCCCCCCAAACUCCGGUUCGGGCGGGGCGGAAGUUGGCCUCCCGUGCGUGCCUGCGCGCGCGGUUAGCCCAAAAGCGAGUCCUCGGCGAUGAGCGCCCCGACAAUCGGUGGUUUUUUUACCCUCGUUCCUCGUCGUGCGUGCCCCGUCGCCCGAACGCGCUCUUGCAACCCUUACGCGUCGCCUCGGUGGCGCUCCCAACGCGACCCCAGGUCAGGCGGGACUACCCGCUGAGUUUAAGCAUAUCAAUAAGCGGAGGA
rnacentral:misc_RNA from 1 species